rnacentral:rRNA from 1 species
AGCAGCCGCGGUAAUUCCAGCUCCAAUAGCGUAUAUUAAAGUUGUUGCAGUUAAAAAGCUCGUAGUUGAAUUUCGGGACCAAUCUGCCGGUCGUGCCUCCGGUACGCACUGGUUUUAUUGGUUUCUCCCUUCUGACGAACCAUGAUGUCAUUAAUUUGGUGUCAUGGGGAAUCAGGACUGUUACUUUGAAAAAAUUUAGAGUGUUUAUAGCAGGCUCACGCUUUGAAUACAUUAGCAUGGAAUAAUGAAAUAGGACGUUUGACCCUAUUUUGUUGGUUUCUAGGAUCGACGUAAUGAUUAAUAGGGAUAGUUGGGGGCAUUAGUAUUCAAUUGUCAGAGGUGAAAUUCUUGGAUUUAUUGAAGACUAACUACUGCGAAAGCAUUUGCCAAGGAUGUUUUCAUUAAUCAAGAACGAAAGUUAGGGGAUCGAAGACGAUCCGAUUACCGUCGUAGUCUUAACCAUAAACUAUGCCGACUAGGGGAUCGGAUGAUGUUAAUUUUUUUCAAUGACUCAUUCGGC